GGUUAUUUUAAAAGAAAGAAGCACUUGGGAUAUAUGCCAUAAAGGAUUCCUCUGGGAUUAGGAAUGUAAAGCAGUAUAGUAGUAAAAGAUCUAUGAAAAAUAUGCUGAAAAUGUAUUCAUUUCACCUACUUGAGAUAAGAAUGAAUACUUCACCUUAAGAGAAUUUCGAAAGUCUUCUGAAAAACAAUCCAGUGUUUUCCCGAUGGUUAAAGGAGGAUAAAUAUCGAGUUUUUCAGCUAAAAGAGGAAGAGACAAGGGAAAGUUGGAAGGAUAUACAUGGGAUUCGAGACCCAGAACCCCUAGGUAUGUGGAGAGCGAUGCAAUUAACACAUAUGCUUAAGAGUUUAUGUCAGGAUUCGGCAGGCUGGAGGUGGAUCCUCUGUGUCAGAGAGGGAUUGGCGUGGACCGUGUCGGUGGACCGGUUCUAAGUUGCUACUGGUUUUCACCAGAGCCCGCCGCAAAGCGGGAUGGACUUGCAGCGGCGGUAGCAACCAGGUCGUAUCCACCGGCAACGGCUCAACCUCUCUGACUGCUGAGAUAGGCGCGGUACAAGGGAUUAGACAAGAGCAGGGUCGGACGUAGCAGAAGGUCAGGGCAGGCAGCAAGGAUCGUAGUCAGGGGCAACGGCAAGAGGUCUGGAACACAGGCUAGGAACACACAAGGAACGCUUUCACUGGCACAAUGGCAACAAGAUCCGGCAAGGAAGUGCAGGGGAAGUGAGGUAAUAUAGGGAAGUGCACAGGUGAAGACACUAAUUAAAACCCAUG